rnacentral:rRNA from 1 species
GUACCCUGGUAGUCCACGCUGUAAACGAUGUCGACUUGGAGGUUGUUCCCUUGAGGAGUGGCUUCCGGAGCUAACGCGUUAAGUCGACCGCCUGGGGAGUACGGCCGCAAGGUUAAAACUCAAAUGAAUUGACGGGGGCCCGCACAAGCGGUGGAGCAUGUGGUUUAAUUCGAUGCAACGCGAAGAACCUUACCUACUCUUGACAUCCAGAGAACUUAGCAGAGAUGCUUUGGUGCCUUCGGGAACUCUGAGACAGGUGCUGCAUGGCUGUCGUCAGCUCGUGUUGUGAAAUGUUGGGUUAAGUCCCGCAACGAGCGCAACCCUUAUCCUUUGUUGCCAGCGAUUCGGUCGGGAACUCAAAGGAGACUGCCAGUGAUAAACUGGAGGAAGGUGGGGAUGACGUCAAGUCAUCAUGGCCCUUACGAGUAGGGCUACACACGUGCUACAAUGGCAUAUACAAAGAGAAGCGACCUCGCGAGAGCAAGCGGACCUCAUAAAGUAUGUCGUAGUCCGGAUUGGAGUCUGCAACUCGACUCCAUGAAGUCGGAAUCGCUAGUAAUCGUGGAUCAGAAUGCCACGGUGAAUACGUUCCCGGGCCUUGUACACACCGCCCGUCACACCAUGGGAGUGGGUUGCAAAAGAAGUAGGUAGCUUAACCUUCGGGAGGGCGC